UUCCAGACUCCUACGGGAGGCAGCAGUGGGGAAUAUUGCACAAUGGGGGAAACCCUGAUGCAGCGACGCCGCGUGAGCGAUGAAGUAUUUCGGUAUGUAAAGCUCUAUCAGCAGGGAAGAAAAUGACGGUACCUGACUAAGAAGCCCCGGCUAACUACGUGCCAGCAGCCGCGGUAAUACGUAGGGGGCAAGCGUUAUCCGGAUUUACUGGGUGUAAAGGGAGCGUAGACGGCUGUGCAAGCCAGAUGUGAAAGCCCGGGGCUCAACCCCGGGACUGCAUUUGGAACUGUGUGGCUGGAGUGUCGGAGAGGCAGGCGGAAUUCCUAGUGUAGCGGUGAAAUGCGUAGAUAUUAGGAGGAACACCAGUGGCGAAGGCGGCCUGCUGGACGAUGACUGACGUUGAGGCUCGAAAGCGUGGGGAGCAAACAGGAUUAGAUACCCGUGUA
rnacentral:rRNA from 1 species